rnacentral:rRNA from 1 species
AACGAACGCUGGCGGCAGGCUUAACACAUGCAAGUCGAGCGCCUCGCAAGGGGAGCGGCAGACGGGUGAGUAACGCGUGGGAAUCUACCCAUCACUACGGAACAACCCCGGGAAACUGGAGCUAAUACCGUAUACGUCCUUCGGGAGAAAGAUUUAUCGGUGAUGGAUGAGCCCGCGUUGGAUUAGCUAGUUGGUGGGGUAAUGGCCUACCAAGGCGACGAUCCAUAGCUGGUCUGAGAGGAUGAUCAGCCACACUGGGACUGAGACACGGCCCAGACUCCUACGGGAGGCAGCAGUGGGGAAUAUUGGACAAUGGGCGAAAGCCUGAUCCAGCCAUGCCGCGUGAGUGAUGACGGCCCUAGGGUUGUAAAGCUCUUUCGCAGGUGAAGAUAAUGACGGUAACCUGAGAAGAAGCCCCGGCUAACUUCGUGCCAGCCGCCGCGGUAAAAC